GGAUUGAGGCUCACUUUGCUAUGGGCUUUCUGGUGCCGAGAUUAGCUUGCCACUGCAAGCCACUACAAACACAAGUCAAAGUCACACUGACUGAGCUACAAUGCCUUGGCACCCACCAACCUCUUCUUCCCCCAAGUGGACAAUUACUCUGUCUGUGCUAUUCUGCCCGGUGUUGGGAAGGCAUGGAGCAAGCAAUCCUGCAGCUACCAACACUGCAAUGCUAAAGCACACCCAGAAUCUACAUCUCCCUAAGACCAGCGUAGCAUGAGGUAGGAUUGAGGCUCACUUUGCUAUGGGCUUUCUGGUGCCGAGAUUAGCUUGCCACUGCAAGCCACUACAAACACAAGUCAAAGUCACACUGACUGAGCUACAAACCCUACUGGGGGGCACAGCCACUUGGGGACUGGGCUGGUUGAGGGGCCUUUAUCUUCAGGUGCUGAUCUGACAACAGCACUCGUUAGUAUCUACCCAAUGAUAGCCAUACCAGAUCCGAGACAAAGUCCUGUGAUUGCUUUCAUGUUUGUCUCCCAGCGACUGAAGUCUUUUUUUUUUUUUUUUUUUUUUUUUUUUGGCUUUCUCCCUAAUGUUAGAGGAAGGGUGAUUAAAGCAGUCCCUCAAUCCCUCAGAUACCUAAAUACCUAGACUGACACUAAGCUGGGUUGCACCUGAAUUUCAUUGCUCCAGGGUUCUGUGAUGUUUAGGUGAUGCAUGCCACGUCCUCCAAGGCUGGGUAAGAUUCAGGCUGAAGAACUUACCUAUCCCACUAAGGUAGAGGUCUACAUCUAAUUCUAGGGCAGGUCUAGAGACUCUGCAUCUACUGGUUUGGGACUAGGGGCUUCUACUCUUUCUGAUGCUGGGUCUCACUUCUGGUAUAAACCCUAGCUUCAAGUCAAAUCCUUAAACUCAUUUUCCUAUCCUAGUCCUCUGUGGUUGAAAUUCUAUUCCUCACUGUCUGAUGUUGGAGAAGACAUUGUGUAGAGAGUCCCUCCGUCACCCAGGCAGACACUAAAUUGGGGCAGACCCUAAUUCACAGUCUCUGGGCUCUGCACAGUCUCAGAGUAUACA
rnacentral:lncRNA from 1 species